UACGUAGGGUGCAAGCGUUGUCCGGAAUUAUUGGGCGUAAAGAGCUCGUAGGCGGUUUGUCGCGUCUGCUGUGAAAACCUGGGGCUCAACUCUGGGCGUGCGGUCGAUACGGGCAUCACUUGAGUUCGGCAGGGGAGACUGGAAUUCCUGGUGUAGCGGUGAAAUGCGCAGAUAUCAGGAGGAACACCGGUGGCGAAGGCGGGUCUCUGGGCCGAUACUGACGCUGAGGAGCGAAAGCAUGGGUAGCGAACAGG
rnacentral:rRNA from 1 species